rnacentral:rRNA from 1 species
GACGGAGGAUGCAAGUGUUAUCCGGAAUCACUGGGCGUAAAGCGUCUGUAGGUGGUUUCAAAAGUCCACUGUUAAAGAUUGAAGCUUAACUUCAAAAAUGCCGUGGAAACUUUGAAACUUGAGUAUGAUAGGGGUAGAGGGAAUUUCCAGUGGAGCGGUGAAAUGCGUAGAUAUUGGAAAAGACCACCAAUGGCGAAGGCACUCUACUGGGCCAUUACUGACACUGAGAGACGAAAGCUAGGGGGAGCAAAAUGGG